GAUGACUUUGACGCAAACUGCAAGAUCACAGACGUUUAAAGAUGCGUCACUCUGCCCUCGUCUUCCCGUCUCCAUAGUCUGCUUAGGAGGGGCAACAUGCAUUUGCGCGGGGCACCACACAUGUCCUAGGCUCGCACCUGCGUACGUGUGCGCGCACGUGCUUCCACAGACGGGUCAGCCCGUUUGGGGGCAGUCACAAAAAUGGGAUCACACACUCCUCUCUCUUUUCUCUUCCCAGACAAAGCACUUGUCCUUAGAGCUUAUUAUCAGUAUCAUUAUGUGCCCCAUCUCAUCCCAAAAGGGUUUCAGCAAACUGUAAGGGGACCUGACAGCAGAAAUAAAAAUGACAGACUUGGCCAAGAUAGGAACAGGUUUCCAAAACAAACAUUGUGGGGGCCUGCAUUUGACCUCCAGACUCUCCUGUUCUGCCCUGUACCCAGAUAGGCCAAAUGCUGGCACCCCUGUACUUUCUCCCCACCUUUGGGGUCCUAAGGCCCACUCAGAUAACCUCUAAUUAAUUCAGACGGGGACCCAUCUCAGGGUCCACCCUGCACCUGGAGCCCCACCCAAAGUCCCUUGGAGGUGAGGAUUGGGUGGCACCCUGGACUUGAGCGCCACCCUGGCAGUGGAGGGUGCUGUCACUCCAGUUUUCAAUCUCCAGGAAACGUCCUGUGGUUGAGGGGGGUCGAGGUGGGGGCUUUGGGCUGAGGAGGAGUUGCUCUGUGACCUCACCCCCUCCUGACUUUGGGCAGGAGCUGAUGUCACCCACUCCCAUGGAGCCUUUUGUGGCACGGCAGGGGGGCCCUGCCCUCCAGGCCACUUCUGUCCAGAGGGCACGGGGGUGCCCCUGCCCUGCCCUGUGGGCACCUUCUCAGAUCGGUGAGUGCCACUGCCCCAGGUCCAAGGGGCAGUCUUCCUGGUCUUCCUUCCCACAGUGACCAUCUAUCUGUCUCACCAAUGAUGUCCCUCCGCCAUGGAGGAACAUGGACCUCAGAGAGCAGGACUUCUGCCUGGCCUCCAAGGGCAGGAACCCCCUGAGCAGCAGCGGAGGGACGGGGAGCACGAUGGUCAGAAUCAGGGCAGACGGUGCUGGCUGCUGGCCGCUUGAGAACGUGUCAGGCCUGAGGAGCAAACCAGGAAGAAGCCUGUGUGUCUGCCUGCACCUCAUUUGAGAGUAGAGCCCCAUCUCCCACCUUUAGGAACUGCCCAACCCCCAAGCAAGGGCACCGCAGAAUGAGGCAGCUGAGGAACCCGUGGCUGAAAGGCUGCUGGACAUUCUGACUGCAGCUGCCAGACCAGGGGUCUGCGGCCCUGGACAGCCUGACUCUGAACUGGGGAUUAAGAUGACAAGGAAACUAACCAGGAGCCUAUCUUAGGAGAGAGAGACCCAGCACACCCAGACGCCACCUUGGACCGCGCAUGGGAGCGCGAGGAAGCCCAGGGAGCCUCAACAAGGAGAAAUGAGAAGGCAGCCCCAGAAGGGCGGGUCUCUCGCCGGGACAUAGCCUCUCUACCCUAAGGGCCUCCUUUCCCACUGACCCGCACUCGCUCUCUGUGUCCCAGGAUGCUUCUCUCCACGGCCUCAGAGUGCCUACCCUGCCCCUCUGGCCAUUUCUGUGGUGUGUCUGGCCUUGCUGCCCCCUCUGCACCCUGCUCCCCUGGCUACUUCUGUCUGGUGGCAGUCUCUUCCCCAACCCCAACAGGCCACUCAGAGAAGGGGGGCCCCUGUCCCCGAGGUCACUUAUGCCCCAGGGGGACCAGCCUCUCCCAGCCUUGCCCUGCUGGCUCCUACAGCAACCUGACUGGCCAAGCCUCCUGCUUCCCCUGCCCCGCCGGCUACUACUGCCCUGAGAGUGUCAGCACCUACCACGAGCACCCCUGCCCUGCCGGCUUCUUUUGCCCCAGAGGCACCAAGUACGCCACCCAGUUCCCCUGCCCUCGGGGCUACUACAACCCAGACCCACUGACGCAGAGCCUGGACAGCUGUCUGCCCUGCCCGCCAGGCCACUACUGCGGCCAGGAGAACCUGACCCAGGCCUCUGGGCCCUGUGAUGCAGGCUGGUUCUGCGUGUCAACAGCAUGGACCGCUCGUCCCUUCGACCUGGACAACUACACCAGCACCAAUUGCCUGUGCCCGGCCGCGGCCACAGCGGGGAAGUGCCUGGCAGGCUCCUUCUGCCCCGAGGGCAGCCCGGAGCCCAGACCCUGCCUGCCGGGCUCUUUCUGCGCCACCUCCGGCCUCUCCACACCCAGUGGGCCCUGCCAAGCUGGCUACUUCUGUGCAGAAGGAGCAGUGUCCCCAGCUCCACGGGACGGACUGACAGGGGCCCCCUGCCCCCCAGGAACCUUCUGUCCUGCAGCAUCACCCAGGCCUGUGCGGUGUCCUGCCGGCACCUUCUCCAGCUUCCCAGAGCAGACGGUGCCCUCUGCGUGCCAGGCCUGCCCGCGCGGCUUCUACUGCAAGGAGCCUGGUCUCCAGGCCCCCUGCUGGCAGUGCCCAGCAGGUGAGAGGCAGCAAAGACCUGGGGGUGCGGACAAAGGGGACAUGGCUAGGGGCAGUGCUGGAGGUCCUGGGCUCUACAGCAUGGCCUCAGAAGGCCCUCAUGGCAGAGGCCCCAGCAGGACUAACCGUCUUGGGGAGGCGAGCACCCCCCUGAGCGUGCCUCACUUCUGGCCAGUUUAUUACUGCGACUCCAGUGCUGGGCCUGUCCAGAACUUCAGCCUGUACCCUUGUCCUCAAGGCUAUUACUGCCCCCUGGGCACAGCCGUGGCCACACACCCCAGCUGCCCAGUGGGCACUUACGGCCCUCGGAAGGGGCUGAGGAGCAUCACUGAGUGCCUGCUGUGCCCCGCUGGGAAGUUCUGUGCGCUGGCAGGGCUCGCAGCGCCCACAGGAGACUGUGCUGCAGGGCACUGGUGCAAGGGAGGAGCCACCAGCAAGGACCCCGCUGAUGGGGCACGAGGCCUCCUCUGCCCUGCUGGGCACUACUGCCUCGAGGGAGCUUCAGUCCCAGCCCGAUGCCCACCUGGUACCUGGUCUGAGGAAGGGAACCAAACCCCAGAAGGAUGUCAAGAUUGCUAUGGAGGACAACUCUGCUCUGGCAGCCACCCAUCAAUCUGGCCAGCACCCUGCCACCCAGGGUUUCUACUGCCCUGAAGGGACAGGGCUCAAUUGGCAGCCCUGCCCCCUGGGCACCUAAGGCCCAGUGCCCGGACUGGGCAGCCUGCCGGGAUGUGGAGUCUGUGACGGAGGCAGGUUCUGCCCCAGGGCCAGUGCCACGGAGGCGGGCAGACAGUGCUGGGAGGGCUUCUUCUGCUCCAGAGGGUCCACCCGGCCCAACCCGGAGGCUGGCACUGAAGAGGGGACUGGCCCAUGUCCUCAAGGACACUACUGCCCCAGGGGCUCAGCUGUGCCCCAGCCUUGCCCACCUGGCACCUUCGGCUCACGCGCCAAGCUCAGUUCAGAGGAUUCCUGCUCCCCAUGCCCGCCGGGCCACUACUGCAGCUCUGCUGGCCUUGCCAGCCCUCCUGGACUCUGCAGCACAGGUUUCUUCUGCCUCAGUGGGGCGCUCGUCCCCAACGGCUCCCUGGGAGACCAGGCCGGUGGCCCCUGCCCCACAGGACACUUCUGCCCCCCAGGCACUGCUGUCCCCAGGCCCUGCCUGGCAGGCACCCACAACGGCCUAGCUGCCCGAGGCCACUGUGAGCCUUGUCCAGAGGGGUGAGUGCAGAGAGGCCUUCCACGGCCCCACGUGUCCAGCUGGGCACACGGUUUGCAUUCCUGCACAGGAGGUGGCUGGAGCAGAUCUCGCUGAGAUUCCUUUCUGCCUGAGUAUUCUGUGACUUCAAGAAGACACAGAAGAACUUCCAUGACUUCUAGCUAGCUUGCUUUACGUCUCUUGAUCUCUUCGUUGUGCAUCACUGAGUCAUUCCUAAUUUCAGACCUGGGUCUCUUUUGCUUCAGUUUAAGCCAGUCAGCCUCCCCUUGAGUGCCUUGAGCUGGAGCAGAGCUGUGCCCAGCCAAGCGAUUGUUCCUGCGGUCUGUGGGGAGGCCAGCCCAGGAAGCCAUCUCCACACACCCCAGGCCAUUGGGUCACACAGCCCUCUGAGCUCCCCCCUCCUCGUCCUGUCUGUAGUUUCUUCUGCCCAGCAAAUACCUCCUCUGUGGUGGGGAACGAGUGUCCAGCCGGCCAUUACUGCCCUGCCUCCACCUCCUCUGCUUCUCAGUUCCCGUGCCCCAGGGGCACCUACAAGCCACAGGGAGGCGGUGUCCAGCAGUCAGACUGCAUCGUCUGCGAGCCAGGUAAGGGGGCAGGGACACCCCCACCCCAGACACAUUAGGCCACAUCCUCCCUGGCCAGCGAGGGCAAGACUCAGGCCUGGCUCAGAGGGGAACCCUUUUCCUCAGCCCACAGCGCACAUUAGAUCAGCCCGCGUUUACUGGCUGGGGUGCCAGGCCAGAGGGAGGGAUGAGACUCAAUCCCUCUGCCCCCAGCCCCAGGGAUCCUGUCUUCCCCUCCCCCAUACAGGCUCCCACUGUCUCUUGCCUGGGCUGGUGGCCGUGUCUGGGCCCUGCCAUGCCGGGUUCCACUGCACUCAGGGAGCAUCUGUCCCAAAUCCCACUGACGGGAUCACAGGAGACCUCUGUCCUCUGGGCCACUUCUGUCCCCAGGGUAGCCCCAGGCCCACUCCCUGCCCCCCAGGUGAGUCACCGAUUCGUGAGCCCCAGCAAUGCAGGGGUCUGCUCUGCACCCUUGAGGAGGAAAAGGAGUGGAGGUCCAGCCUGGAGAAGGACCCAGAGGAAACCCCUGCAUUGGACUUAGAGAGUGACAUCCGUCCUGCCCCGAUGCAGCAAGGGGCGUGGGUGGAGGGCUGAGGGCGUUUAGAGCUAUGACCAGGCCCCCGGGGGAAGCUUGACCAGGGAGGGGUGGAGGGAAGAGGCACAGUGGGAAGGGAGUGAUGCCUGGCAGUGGAAAUGGGGCAUGGGAUGCCCCUCACCUGUGUCAGCUGAGCCCGGCUCUGGCUCCCCAGGUAGAAGGUGGGCUCGGGAGGCAGGGGGCCUUGCAGUCGCUGGGCCCUGAGCCUGAGCAGGCAGAGCAGGAUCAUGGCUCUGCCCUCUGAGACGGGCCACUGCGGGGCUUCAGCUGGGAGGCCUCCUGGCGGUGGCCACAAUGUGUGGACAUACAGGGUCUCUCCUGCCCGUCCCCGGGGCCACAUCACUGGAGGACGGCCAGCCAUGCCCGGCUGGCUGGUUCUGCUCCCAGGCUGGCCUGAGCUCCCCGGAGGCCCCGUGUGAAGAAGGCUGGUUCUGCCCCAGGGCUUCUGUCUCCGGGCACGGUCCAGGUGAGGGCAGACCCUCCUCACCUUGUGGGAGGGGUGGGUGCUGUGGGACCUGCAGGGGACCAGCCUGGAAGGGAAACCCAGGCCGUGGGCUCUCCCUCUGCCCUCAGGCUCCCGUGCCUAACAGCAGUGAGACGAGCCUCGUGACCUGGGGCCUGCUGAGGAGGGGCCGCAAGCCUGUGCGUUAGCAAGGCUCCCCGUGCACCCAAAGCUCAGACAGGGAGAGGAGAGAGGCUCAGGAUGAGAGGAAGGGAAGAAACGAGAAGCAUUGAAACAAAAGCAAUCAUCAAAGAUGGUGAAUCCUGUGCUCUGGGGGAAGGAAUACAGGUUCCCAAGGGCCAGGACCCUCUUGUGAGGGAGCAGGAAGGGUCUUCACCCCUCAUGCGAGACCCUGGGCCUGGCAGAAAAGGGAGAGGUCAGACCCAAGGACAAGGUCCUAGCAGAGCCGGCACAAUUCCAUCUUCUGCGGCCUCAGUCCUCAACAGGUUGGUUGUAAUCAGUUUUGAGAUGCUAUAAGUAAUUAUAAUAAAGUGUCAGGGACCACUGGGCACUGGGGAAAGCUGCCCUGAGGGGACUCUCCCUCUGAUACUGAGGCUCUCGAGAGGGUCCCCCUACCUCCCUGCCUGGAAGCUCUGGUCUCAGCGUGGAACAGCCCCAACCUUAGAACACAGUUGAUCUAGGACAGCAACUCCAAAAAAAUUCAUUAGAAGUAUUCCAGGAAAUAAAGUUGGUAUAUAAAAGCGUAGAAACUGUUCCAUUCCCCAGAAUAUGGACACAAAGUACAGGUUUCUGACACUGCCCCGUCCCUUCCCAGGGUCCACCUCCUAAAUAUGCUCCACUGCCACCCAGCUUCUUGUGGCUUCAUCAGCCGCGGGCCCUGGGAAGCCGGGUCCGUGAGCCGAGACAGGCUCCCUCCCGCUGGCCAGUCCAGUGCUCCAUGUGAUGAAGAGCACAGGGGGCCCCCGGGCUAGCGCACACAGCAUUUCCCAAACUUACCUGCCCAAAGAAGCUGUGGUUUGAGGAACAUCUCGUAGGACGAGGACCCCUGGGAACACCUUUGGUGACAGAUGUUCUGGCCUGGAAGCCCGGGGCUGCCUUGUGUACCCAGUGAGGCUCCCAGCUCCGACCCCAGCCUGUGGAGCACACCGCCCCAGCACCCGCUCGGCCCAGUCACUACGGACCUGGCCCCUUCCCAUCCAGGCCGUGAGGUUCCCACGCCACCCUCCUACACAGGGCCGGUUGUCAGCUGGAGCUGUCUCCCCUCCCGGUGCCCGCAGGACCAAGGUGUCAGGAACCAGGCCUGGGAGUGUCAUGCAUCACGGGCACCACAAAUCACACACCCACCCGCUCAGCGCCUACGUGGAGGGAGUAAGAAGUGGUUGUUCUGGGCUCUGGCUGGAAGGACAUGGGGAAUCUUCCAAGAGGAAAUACCUGUCUCCCUCAGCUUUUCUAGGCACGCUCUGCCCUGUUGGGCACUCCUGUCCCCCAGGCAGCCCGGAGCCCCAGCUCUGCCCCCCAGGGCAGUAUCAGGAUGAACCUGGACAGAGUGUCUGCAAGACGUGCCCCGCUGGAAAGUGAGGACCUGUCGCUGGCGGGGGCCUCCUCUUCUCUUGGCGUGACACUGGGCUUUCCUGCUCUCCCUGCAGCCGGGGCUCAGAUAUGCUGCAGGGACCAGCGACCACGGCCCCGUCACCCUAGAGAGCCCCUUGUAAUAAGCACUCCACUGUCCAUACAGGGGCCUUAGGGGGCUGUAGGCUUUGUGCAAAAGUGUCAAUGAGACAGGAGGCCAUUGUCCACCUUAACGUUCACUUCCUCUGACCUCAGAUGGCCCUGUGGGGUUUUGCUUCUGCCCAAAUCCUCCAGGUCCCCAGAGCUUCCUUCCUCUGGAGAAGCCUCACUUCUUAGAAGGUCUGAGGAUAUGGGAGGCGUCGACUCUUUCACUCCUGACCACCAACUGGCUGUGUCCACAGGUUCUGUCCCUUCGGGAUCUAGGGACCAGGAGGCAGGACUGUUUGGCCAGUGGACUGUCCUGCUGGCUACUACUGUCCUCUGGGUACCCAGACACCCACCCAGCACCCGUGCCCCAGGGGCACCUUCCGAGAGAGGCCCGGGGCACGCAGCACCAAGGAUUGCAGGCCCUGUCCCGCAGGGCAAUUCUGCUCAGAUUCAGGUGACAAGAGCCAUCUCUCUGGGACUUUGCAGGGUCCCUGAUUGAACCCCUUGUCGCAGACAUACUUAGCCUGCCUGCAGGUGGACACCCUGGGUUCCCUUGCAUCCCAUAAGACCUGCAGCCCCACAUAGGGAGCACUACUUGAGCCUGGGCCUGGGGAUGGGAGGAGGAGGCAAAGGUGACCUGCUCUGAUCCCCGAGAGGUCACAGUGGGGAAGGGAAGGAUAGGGACAGAUGAGAGCAUGAAUGCCCCCACCCAGGCACACACUGGUCUCCUCAGACAGGUGCUCUGGGUGUCCUGGGGAGGGCAUGUUGACCCCCGGGCAGAGGGUGUGUGGAGCACAGCACCAGGCUUUGAAGGUGAUGCUGGACUUUGGCAGUGGGCUGAGAGCAGGCGGGUGCAGCCUUGUUCAGGAAGCAGGCCUCCGCCCAGAGCAGCUGGGGCAGGACCUCAGGGAGAUCCCACCAUGACUGAGCCCAAGGCUGAGCGAGUGGACGUAGCAGUAACCGCAUUGGUGAGAGUGUGGUGUGCAUUUGUCCAUUUUAGUUGUCUACUCCAUUUAUAAGUCACCUAGAACAAGACACAGCUGGGCAGUAAGCAGACCACUGCCAGAUGCUGGGAAGCAGAGGAAGGGAGAUGUGAGCUCCCUCACAUGGUCCUCAGGCCCCCAGGGGUCCCAAGUGUGUCUCCCCAGAGUAAGGCUGGGGAUGUGAGGCGUCGGCCCAUCACCUGCAGCCAGGGCGGCAGAGCCCUGCACACCCUCAGUACCACAGCCGGGCCUGUAUUUCUAGGAUCCUAAGUCAGCACUCUCGCACCCUGGCUCUGCUUGACCCCAUUGGAUGUGACCAAACAAGCCUUUUAACUCAUUUAUCCUCGCAACCAGGCUACUAUUUUACAGAUGAAAAGCCUGAGUUCAGAGAGGUCCUCUGCACAGCUGCAUAGGUAGUGAGCAGCAGAGCCAGGAGAGGACACACAGUUUGGCUCCAAAGACUUGAGCUCCUUGGCACACUGCAGCUCCAAGCUCAGGAGCAGCUCAAGACACUCUUCCAGGUCCCUUUUCUCCUUUUCCUUCUAAUCUGAAACCAGGCCCGCUGUGGUGAACUAAGCCUGUCUCCAUCCCAUCUCCACAGGGGCUGGGAAACGCUUCCCGGACGGGCCAUGCUCAGCAGGUUAUUACUGCACCCCUGGCCAGACCUCAGCCACCCCUAUAUCUUUCCGGUGCCCCCGUGGCUUCUACUGUUCCGAGGGAUCUCCCCAGCCAAGGGCCUGUGAGAACGGAACAUUUCAGCCCCAGGAAGCAAAGGGCUCCUGUGAGCCCUGCCCCACAGGAUUCUACUGUGACGCCUCUGGCAAAGGCCCGAUCCUGUGCCUCCGGGGCUACUUCUGUCCCCCCGGCUCCCACUCAGCCACUGCCCACCCAUGCCCUUGGGGGACAUUCGGGCCCAGGCAAGGGGCCACUGCAGAGAGGGACUGUGAGCUGUGCCCAGCAGGGAUGUUCUGCUCAUCAGAAGGGCUGUCCCAGCCAUCAGGGCUCUGCCACUCUGCCCACUACUGCACAGGGGGAGCAGUGUCUCCCACCCCCAUCAAACACAAGGUACAGAUCACUGGGCCGGGCACCCUAGACAGGCGUCUGAGUCUGCCCUGCAGCACCCAUGUGUGUACUGGCUCAGGACAAAGCUGCCCAGGGGUUCCUGCUGGGCUCCCGCUGGGGGUGAAGCUCCCUGAGGGCAGGGGUCUCCUCACCUUCGUGUUCCCAAGGCCUGGCACAGGGCCUGGUGAUAUCUUAUUUCAAUGAUUCUGAGAUGUGCAUCUUUUUCACAUUUAACAUCACUAAAGUCAGCAGCAUCUUAUAAUCCAUGGCAUCUGGCAAUCAAUGGCAGUGAUUUUUUUCUUUUAAGUCAUUCGGCUUCCAGGAGAUGACAUCUUGGCUUAGAUGACAUGCAUGUGGCAAUAAUAGCAGAAAACACAUACAGAGCCUUGACUACUGCUGGGCAGCAUUCUGUGCUGCAUACACAUUGAUUCAGCAGUCCCCACACAGCCCUGUGGGAGGCCCCGGUGCCACCCCAUUUUAGACGUGAAGAAACUGAGGAGCACGUGGGGUAACGGACUUUCUCAAGGCCACACAGCGAGAAAGCGACCUUCAGCACGUUGGAUGAUUAUACCGUAGAGCAGUGCAGGGGAGAGUCGGCUGGGUGGAUAGACACACGGACCAGUGCUGGACAGACAGAUGGACAGAUGGGCACUGGUGUGUUAAUUGACUGGCUCUGAUUCUCAUUGUUACUGAGUUGCUGUGCGAACUUGAACAUACAUGCCCCUUGCCCGCUCUGGGCCCUGGCUUCCCUUUUAGAACAGACACUGCCCCUUCUUCUGGAAGUCACCGGUUCUACAUCAAUGCCACAGAGAAGAGACUAGGCCUGGAGACGAGGAAGGGAGGGGCGGGAGGCCACUGAGUCAGCGCUCUGAUUUAGAAAGUAGGGACCCCUGCCAAGCCUUGUCCUAGCUCAUCCUCCUCAGGUCUCAGCUGGCACAGCUAAAAGCACAUGUGAAUGGGGUGGUUCCGCAUGGGACGUCCUUGUGUGCAGUGCAGCCUCAUUCAGGACAGUCCUGGUCCCUAGCUUCUCCCCAGCAGCGGCGUUGGUAGCCUGGGACCACAGCUCUGAUUUGAAGUCCUUUUUUCCUUCUUUCUGGCUACACAGGUGGAGGUCCCAGGACUUUCUGGAAAUGACAUCUGUCCCCCUGGCUUCUUCUGCCCCAGGGGAACAGGCUCCCCAAUGCCAUGCCUGCCUGGGUUUUACUCCUCUGCCCCUGGCCUGGCCAGCGAGGACCAGUGCCAGCCGUGCCCCCGGGGGCACUACUGCAGCCGUCUUGGGCCGUGCCACUUCCUGGAGGCACAGCCCUGCCAUGCAGGGUGAGGGGCCCUGGCCCGGCACUCCUGGGGAGCAGUGGCCUGAGAAGGGAGGACGGUCCCUAGCUCAGGCCUGCCAGGCCCCACAAGUAGCAAACUAAUCCUAAAUCCCCAUAGGCUCUCCCUAGCCCCUCCAAGGAGCCCAGCCCAGGGUGACUCUCUCCCCCAGGCAGGUGGGCCUCCGAUGAGCCAUCCCUUAGAUGCAGAGCCUAACCAAACACAUCCUCCCGAGCCCUCUCAGCACUGGCCUUCUGAGGUCCAAGGAGCUCUGGGUGUCCCACUUGGCCCCUGGGCAGCCUCCACACCCUCUGUGGCCCCAACCAGGCCUUGGCCUUUAUCCCAUUGGCCAAUAUCCUCUGCCAACAGGUGUCUGAGAUUCCUGACAGGUGCAUUUUCCUCUCAUGGUCAAAAGGACUAGGGACGACUGGCCAUGGCCGCCAGGAAGUUUGGCCAGGUCCUGUGUGAAGGAAGACUUGCCCAUGCGCUCAGGGGCCCUGAAGACAGAGAAAGUUUGGAGAGGGGCCCGUUCCUGUUCUGGGAAAUGUCAGGCCCUUCCCACAACUGAUUCCCUGAGCCCCUACUACUUAGUUUCCUAUCAAGGGGACAGAGCAUGUGUUAGCCCGGAGGACCAGAGGACUGCUUUCCCCCCAGGGAUCGUCCGUGGCUGUGGCCACACUGGCCUUACCCUCAGCACAACUCUGACGACCACGGUUCCAAAGGCUACCCUUUCUCUUGCCUUCUUCCCCCUGGCCAGGACCCCAUGGUCGUGCUAGAGGAGGUUCAGCCACGGUUCUCCAUUUCCUCAGGUACAUCUGCCUGACAGGCAGUGCUGUCCCCUCACCCUCCGAUGGAACCCAUGGAUACAGAUGUCCCCCUGGCUUCCGCUGUCCCCCAGGGGCCCACAGCGAGCUGCCCUGUGAGCCUGGCACCUUCAGCCCCUUGCCUGGGGCUGACACCUGCCUGCCCUGCCCAGGGGGCACCUACUGCCAAAAGGCUGCCACCAUAGAACCCACCACCUGCCCCAAAGGUAAUGAAUGCCCUCAGACUGGCUUCUGCCCUGGCUCUCGGGGGCAGAGGGACAUUGGGCAUGACCACAGUGGACAGUGCAACUCAGGGGUCAAUGUAAAUGGGACCACUCCCAGCUCCUUGGCUCUGUCUCAGAACUCCAUGCUUGAUGGCGAGAUCUUGGCCCUCUCUGGCAGCCAGCAGCUGCCUAUAAAGGGGGCUGAUCAUGCUGCAUGGGGAGGACAUGAGGUGAAGGUUGUCAGGGACCCACACUCCCCAGGUGCCAGCACCUGCCAGCACUCUCCUUCACACGGCCUGUGACUGGGCAGCACCUGGCUGGUCCUCAGCCUGCGGCUGUCCAGUGGGUGAAGGAAGGGGAUGCCAGAUGAUGGCUGAGCAGCCUUGGACGUCCACACCUUCCUGCUCACCGCAGGUUCGCGGUGGGUGCCCAGGAGGUGAGCAGACACGAGUUGUGGAGGGAAGAGCACAGGCCCGGGAGGCAGGGCCUUUGGUCAGUCCUGCCCUGAUCCUAAGAUGCUGCUGCCCUUGGGCAGCCACCACCUGUCUGCACAGCGAGGCCAGAGGGCCUGCGAGAACCCCCCGGGGGCUGACUCCCUCUCAGGAAACACCCCAGACACUGCAGCGUGUCUGGUAUGAGACUGUCAGCACCUGGUGGCCAGGCUGCCUGUCAGGUGCUCCUGGGGUGGCCAUUUCUUCUGGAGGUUACAGGGGAGCACGUGACCUCACUUUCUCCAGGACAAGAAAUGCCCUUUCCCUCAGCACUACAGAGCCACACACACCUCUCACUUACUGAUCCCUGAAUAACGACCCCGGAGACCUCAGUGCUGAGGUCCCUGGCGCAUGCGCGCACAUGUACACACACAUCCAUGCACACACACUCGCACAUGUGCACACACAGGCACACCUUAGCUGCACGGACAGACCUCCAUCAGAGCCCCCACCCCACUGGCCUGAAUUCUACACCCUCUUCCCAACACCUGGCCCAGCGUCCCCUCCCACACUCCCUGGUGUGCUCUCUGCACCCCCUUGGGGCUGCCCUCACUUCUCUGCCAUAAAUGAUGGGAGGUUGUGGGGCAUAGGGAGCAGCUGUGGGGCCUGGACACUCGGUGCUCACUCACUCGGGCCUUCCCCGCAGGUUACUACUGCCCAGCGGGAACACCCUCCGCUCUUCCCUGCCCAGAGGGAACCCUGAACCCGCGAGAAGGCGCUGUCUCCCCCAGGGCCUGCCAGCCCUGCCUUGCAGGGAGGUAUUGCCCUGGGGAGGGCAACGGGAAGCCUGAGGGUAGGUACGAGCACCCAGCACAGCUGGGUCCUGGCCCCCUGCACGGCUCCCGUAGGGCUCUCCUCCACAGGGCCACAGCAUAGGUCUGGGUCUGGCUGCCCGCCUCAGUGUGGCCUCCUGCCACCUCCUCCCUCAAGCCCUGCUCCUCCCUGCCUCCCUCCACUAAGAGGCCCCAGGCUCGGGCCAACAGCAGCCUCAGUCGCCACCACCGGGAUUCUCAUCCCCACUCUGCACUUGAUGCAGGUAUGACCCUGGACAAGUCACUUAACCUCUCUGGCUCAGUCUCCUCCCCUGUACAAUGGGAACUAUAACAGUACCCCCCCAUACACACACCCCCACAGCUGCUCUGGGGAGUGCAGUCCUUACAGAUCAGGAGUUCAGAACAGCACCUGGUGCACAGUAAGUGCCCACAGCUGUGACCACCUGUUGUCACCCUCACCCCACAUUCUAUGUGGAAGCCCCAGCUCAAGGCAAGGACCCCACGGCUGCUCAGCAAUUCCUUGUUUCCCUGACUUUUUCCUUCUUCCUACUUGAAUUUCCAUGAUUCCCCCAGGUUAGGGAUGGCAACAGGGCCCCGGGGAGGGCACAGUCUGGGCCUACUCUAGUGCACGCAGGGUUUGAGCGCGAGCUGGCGGAUUUCUGUUGCUGCCUAAAGGGCCGUGUCUUCCUGUAUCCAAGGCCCCUGUUCGGCUGGUUACUACUGUGAGGGGGGCGCUGCCAGCCCCACUCCCUGGAGAGACUCUGCCUUCCCCCUUAACGGACCCUGCCCCCACAGCCACUACUGCCCACAGGGGACUCUCCACCCCGUGCCCUGCCCAGUGGGGACAACGAGGAGCACCCCAGGUGGCAUCUCUGAGGGGAGCUGCAGGCCCUGCCCAGCUGGCUUCUUCUGCCCCAGCCUGGGUCUCAGCUCUCCUACCGGUUCCUGUGUGACCCUCUCCAAAUGCCCCUCGGACCCCAGGGCCUCCAGCCCCACGGCUCUCCCCUGUCCUCAGGUACGUCCCUGGGAGCUGUGGGAGGCAGCCCAGUCCCCAAGAAGCCAGGGACCCCCCCCCCCAGAGCUCAAUCUGGAGCCCUCCAACUGUGGGCCUCAGGCCAGCUCUCAGUGCCUCACAGGAGGGCCCUCAAUACUCCCAUCUCCCAGGCUCCUUCUUUCCCCAGCUGCCCCACCCAGCCUCCUGGCCUCCUGCACUCCAGUCACCAGGGCCUGAACAAGCCAGAAGGCAGGACCACACACGGACCGUCCCAAGCCCUGAGCUCCCCAAUCACAGCCAGCCUGGUUCUCAGAGAUGUCGCUUUGUGUCCAAUGCCCAGGGUCACUUUUGCCAACCAGGGGCUGCUCGGCCUGCCCCAUGCCACCGAGGGGAGUACCAGCCCUCCCUGGGCUCAGACACCUGCCUCCUGUGUCCACCUGGUUUUUACUGCCCACACGCCGGCACCGGAGUGCCCAGGCUUUGCCCAGCACAUGCCUACUGCCCAGCCGGUAUGCCCAGGAUCCUCAAUCCCCCAUGCCUCCCGGGCCCUCUACUUUCUCCCCAACACCCCCAUCUCCCUCUCAUUCAUUCCUUCAUUCCUUCAUUCAAAAUCCAUGGAGUGCCUACUGUGUGCCGGGCGCUAUGCUGGCAUGAGGAUCACCAACGGCGAAGAGCACGCUCACAGCCUUCAUCCUCCGCUCGCCUCUACCACCCCGACCCCUGCUGCUUCUCUUCUCUUUGUCUGUUGACUGGCCUGUGCUCCAUGCCCUGCCUCUCCCCUCCACUCCACCUGGGGGCCCAGGGCGAGUACCUGGACCAGAGAGGACAGCAAACAGGAGUCAUCGCCUGUGCCAACAGUUUGGGUCAUGAUCGGGGAGUGCCUCCUGAGCACAGCGGGGAGAAGGCUAUGUCUUGAGGCUGGUGCUGCGGAAACGGAGCCCCGCAGGCCAACAGUGGUGGCGCAGCCACCGCACGUCUCAGCCUCGAGCUGAGUCCAGACCCCCUGAACACACUGUGCAUGAGCCCACACUCACACACAGAAACCCACACGGGCAUAUGCAGAUACAUACACACAGGCACACUCCCUCAGCGCACGCACAGACUCACAUGCACACACACAUAUGCUGUCCCCAGGCAGCCCAACAAACAAAUAGGUAUCCACAGAAGUUCAUGAUCUUUGUCACAUCUUAGGUAAAUCUUAGGGGAAAUCUGGUCAAUUUCAGGAGUUCUGAGUGCAUUAGCUUUGCAAGUGUUUGAUCCACAUGUGACCAUACAUUUGUCUUUACCGUGACUAUGGUGUGAAAGGUUUAUGUGCCCCUUAAAUGAGUGACCUCUUACCCAGAACAUUUACAACAUUCCAAGUGCAAAGAGCCUGGCCUGUUGUCCCCAUGGUUACAUCUUGUACUAGUCGCACACACACAGGAGGACGGCACCUCUGCGGGGAAGCACCGUGCUCCUGCACUCCCAGCCCACCGCCCAGACCCUCAGCCCACCCUUGCUGAGGGGCUGACUCUCUUACUCUCUGCCUCCUCUGACUAAACUCCCAUCUUUCAGCUUCCUACUCCCAUUCCUGGUCAGAAUUUUUUUCAGUAGAUCCAGCUGCUCCCUUUAAACCUUUUCCCCUGUUGGAGGAUUUCUUCUCCUAUUUCCCAUUCAAGGUGUGUGCCCUGUGUGCCCCUGGCACCUAGCAGCACAGCCCAUGAGCUCAAGGAAGUGCUGAGGUCCCCAAAGCCAGAGGAUGGGGUUGGGUGGAGGACAAGGGGACCACACAGGCACACCCAGGCAGGGCAGCCAGCGCAGGGGGCCAGGGGGCUCCCACGUGAGACGUGCUUGGUGUGGAUCAACAUGGUUCCAACUUAGUGCCAGAGAGCCCACAGUGUCUGGCACCCAAUAGGCACCUCACUGGCCAGAUGAAUGGCCUUUGCCCCAUGUAGCUUCCCUGCUAUCUGGGAAUCCUCCAGGAGGGAGCUACUCUGCUGUAAAGGGACAGUAAUCCUAGGGAGAGAGACUGAAGCCACUACCAUUUCAUCACUACUUCGGCUCUGAGAAAGCAUCACAAAACUCUGCACCAUCGGGGGUAGCAGGAUGCUGAUGGGUGGGGAGCCCAGCACAGAAACCCGUUCUGCAUCAGUCCAGGUAUAGCGGAGGCGGGUCCACAGGCACUGGCCAGUCACUCAUCUUCACUAACUGCUCCCAUCCUCCAGGAACGUGGUCCCCUCGUCUGUGUCCCCCAGGAACCUUCACUCCCCAGGAUGCAUCAGGCCUCCAGGAAGAGGGUGACUGCUCCGUCUGUCCCCCCGGUCACUACUGCAGGUUAGUAACAGCCCAGUCAUUCACCUCCUGCCGCUGCCAUCAAAGUGCACCCUGCGGGUGAUGAGGCCCCACGGACCCCCUGGCCUGUCCCAAGGCCCCGCACCAUGUUGGGGGAGCGAAGGUGUGAGGGGCCGCCUGUCAGACCACAGCCCCACCCAGCAGCACAGGCCUGAAGAGGGAGGGAAAAGCCUGACAAUUAGGUGAAGAGAGCCAGGACAGUCAGCACAGACUUAGAUCUAAAAAUAAAUAAACAAGAUACAUUCAAACAGAGAGAGCAUCAGUUUGAGGUGACAAAAACUCUGCUCAGUCCCCACCUAAAAAUGCAGGGAAGUUCCUUAGACGCAAGAUCCUCUGUGCCUCUGGGCAAUCCCCAAGGUCCAUACACACUUGGGGGAGAUGGACAACCCUCCCUUCUCCCUGUCUUCCUGAACUUUCCACAGUACGAAUAGCCUUGGUAAACGAUUGGGCUGCAAAGACAAUAAAUGGUACCUAUAAACAGAAUGAUCAGAGAACAGGUCUCGG
ensembl:lncRNA